rnacentral:sRNA from 1 species
GAGUUAAAUUUUUUGUUUGGUAUUUGUUAUAUGGCGACAUUUUUGACAGGAUGUAUUUUAUGCCAUUUAUAAACCAUGUUUUCCAAUACUGUGCUUUUUCACCUGAGCUAUUUAUUACAAACAAUGUGUAUCUAGCCAUGUAAAGAUACAUAAAUUGCAUGUGUAGCAAUUACUUUAUGGAUGGGUCAAGUGGCAUCAAAGUGGAAAACAUGUGUUUUUGUUUUAUGUUAGGAAAAGUUGCUAAUCCUGUUGAAACAUUACAUUUCUGUAUUAUUUUGUGCCUCACAAAAUCUUUCAUAUCACAAUAAAUGUGUUGAAAUCCUAAUAUUAUCUAUUCUUAUUUGAGAUUUUUUCAAACCUAAAUUACAAAUGAAUGAUUCUAUAAGACUGUUUUUAUUCGGGGGCAGGGCACAUUGCCAACAAUGCAGAAUACAUGUAUUAAAAUUUAACUUUUCUCAUAUAUUCUUUUUUUGGGGGUCAAGAAUUUACAAUACGAAAUAGGAUGGAUACAAGUGGUCAACAUGGGAAAUUAGCAACUGUUCUUUAUCGAUAAUAUAUCCUUGUGUGCUUGAGUAUCACUUCAACAUGCCAAUAAAGAAAUACUAUACC